UACGUAGGGUGCGAGCGUUAAUCGGAAUUACUGGGCGUAAAGCGUGCGCAGGCGGUUUUGUAAGCCAGAUGUGAAAUCCCCGGGCUUAACCUGGGAAUGGCAUUUGGGACUGCAAGGCUGGAGUUUGGCAGAGGAGACUGGAAUUCCUGGUGUAGCAGUGAAAUGCGUAGAUACCAGGAGGAACACCGGUGGCGAAGGCGGUUUCCUGGCCGAGUACUGACGCUGAGGCACGAAAGCGUGGGGAGCGAACGGG
rnacentral:rRNA from 1 species